AUUGAACGCUGGCGGCAUGCCUUACACAUGCAAGUCGAACGGCAGCACGGGUGCUUGCACCGGGGGGCGAGGGGCGAACGGGGGAGUAAGACAGCGGAACAUGGCCGGGAGGGGGGGAUAGCCCGGCGAAAGCCGGAUUAAUACCGCAUACGAUCCACGGAUGAAAGCGGGGGACCUUCGGGCCUCGCGCUAUAGGGUUGGCCGAUGGCUGAUUAGCUAGUUGGUGGGGUAAAGGCCUACCAAGGCGACGAUCAGUAGCUGGUCUGAGAGGACGACCAGCCACACUGGGACUGAGACACGGCCCAGACUCCUACGGGAGGCAGCAGUGGGGAAUUUUGGACAAUGGGCGAAAGCCUGAUCCAGCAAUGCCGCGUGUGUGAAGAAGGCCUUCGGGUUGUAAAGCACUUUUGUCCGGAAAGAAAUCCUUGACUCUAAUACAGUCGGGGGAUGACGGUACCGGAAGAAUAAGCACCGGCUAACUACGUG
rnacentral:rRNA from 1 species